GAAAAAGAUAUCUUGUCUAAUUUUGGGAAUUUAUGCUGAAUUCUGGAGACUAUUUCACUCUGGAGAAGUCUAUACAUAUAAGCACACACACAUGUGGGCAUCUGUCCACGUGAAAGUGAACUCACCGGAAAUGUGAUGAGGCACUAGUGGUGCUCUCAUAUUAAGAUGAGGGUCACAGCAGCUGUCUUCAGACAUAAACAAGAGACUCGGCAGAGUAGAGGAGGACUGAAAUUGGAUAGGUCAAGGUCAAUGUGCUGAAAAAAGUAUGACAGCUUGAGUAUUCUUCAGGUGAAGCUAGAUUAUGCCAGGAAAAGGCAACCUCUCCUAAAACAGCAGCUUUGUUCAAAAGCCACUGGAGAAUUGAAAUAAUAGCAAAGAUGGGUCUCCUUUUGGAUCAGGAGCAAUAAUAAUACCACCACCAAUAAUUAAUACAAGCUACCAUUUGUUGAGACUACCUCAUACCCCAUGUACUUUGUCAAUGGUAUGCAGUUAUGAACUUCAUUAAUCUUCACACUCCACCAAAGUAGGUGUUGCUAUUAUCUCUAGUUUACAUGUGAAGUACACAGACAGGGAAUAGCAGUUUGCUCAAGAUCGCAAAGCCUCCCUCAAUGAGAGGAAGAAUCAUUUGGUUUUGUUUGUUUCUUCGUUUUGCACCUGCGGCACAUGGAAGUUCAGCCGCUGCCGAGACAACACCAGAUCCUAACCACGGCCCCACAGUGGGAACUCCCAGAAUCAGUAUUUAUUUAUUUUUUAUUUAUUUAUUUUUUUUAUUUUCCCACUGUACAGCAAGGGGGUCAGGUUAUCCUUACAUGUAUACAUUACAAUUACAUUUUUCCCCCACCCUUUCUUCUGUUGCAACAUGAGUAUCUAGACAAAGUUCUCAAUGCUAUUCAGCAGGAUCUCCUUGUAAAUCUAUUCUAAGUUGUGUCUGAUAAGCCCAAGCUCCGGAUCCCUCCCACUCCCUCCCCUGCCCAUCAGGCAGCCACAAGUCUCUUCUCCAAGUCCAUGAUUUUCUUUUCUAAGGAGAUGUUCAUUUGGGCUGGAUAUUAGAUUCCAGUUACAAGUGAUAUCAUAUGGUAUUUGCCUUUGUCUUUCUGGCUCAUUUCACUCAGUAUGAGAUUCUCUAGCUCCAUCCAUGUUGCUGCAAAUGGCAUUAUGUCAUUCUUUUUUAUGGCUGAGUAGUAUUCCAUUGUGUACAUAUACCACUUCUUCUUAAUCCAAUCAUCUGUCGAUGGACAUUUGGGUUGUUUCCAUGUCUUGGCUAUUGUGAAUAGUGCUGCAAUGAACAUGCGGGUGCACGUGUCUCUUUUAAGUAGAGUUUUGUCCGGAUGGAUGCCCAAGAGUGGGAUUGCGGGGUCAUAUGGAAGUUCUAUGUAUAGAUUCCAGAAUCAAGGCGGUGAUGUAUCACUCUUUGCCCAGCCAGUUGUUUUCCCUGGAUUUUGCAAGAGCUCAUGUUUAAGGUAAAACUGGUUAUCACCUGCCUAGAUACCAGUGAUUUACAAUUAUUUCUUUAUUAAGAAAAUGUUCACUGUGUGAGUGGUCUCUCUCUGAAAAAAUGCCAACAAAGAGGCCUUGUCAGUUUUUUGGCAGAGACACAGCUAAACACAUAAAAACAAGUUUAAACACUAUCAUUUAUGCAUAAUUCUCUCUUGGCAUCAUCUCUCACUUGCCACAAUUUGCAGCCAGAAAACACUUAUUUCUACUUUUCUUACUCUAGAAAUAAUCCAGCUUUAAGUGGAUCUAAUUCCUCCCUAGAAGAGAAACAGUCCUGUCAAGACUUGGUGGUGUGUGCUGUGUUUGAGGCAUCAAGGUUUCCAUUUACUGCACAGCUGCACAGACUCCGGAAGCUGGUGCUAAGCCAGAGCUCUGUACCCACUGCGAUCUGCAGUCUGGAAUGAUAAACACACAGCUGCCUGUGGCAGGGGCCACAGGCAUAAUAGAUGGCCACGUCUCCACAGGAGUCGGGCCAACACAACACAAAUCAUUAAUCCAACUGCUUAUAUGUUAAAUAUCACAAAACGUGUACAAAAUGGUGAGCUGUCUCCAUGAAAGGCAGGGAUGGGGCAGGGAGUCGGGGGAGGGGGGGCGGAGGCGGAAGCAAUUUAAGGGAAUAGGACAGAGUAAGCGGCUGUGUGUCCUUUGCAAAGUCCUGCUGGAGAACUGAUUUACUGCCACAGGCUCUCUUGCUGCAAAUAGUUCAUAAAGCCUAUGACCUGAGUACUUGCCCACGGGACCACAAUAACAUUUAUCUAGCAUAAAUUAAUGUGUUUCAACCACUAAUUCAAUUUGGCCUGCCUCAUUCUUCUGGUUUUGCCAAAGCCUCGCCUUGCUAUAAAGUCACUUGGUGAUUCACAUGAAUAGCUGGGUUUGUUAAGGAGUCACACACCGCUAGGAACAAAGAGUGCUAUUAGUUGAGCAGUCAUCAAAAUAUACCCCCAGAGCACAUUCGGAGCUGUGCUAAUUGAAACUUCCUCUUUAGAGGGGCCUGAUCAAAACCAGCUGUAGGAGUCAAGCUGGAGCAGAUUUCAACAUUGCAUUAAAAGCCCAAAAGAUUCAGAAAGAGCAGGGCGUCUGAAAGAAGAGGCAUUCUGGCCCCAACACGUGCUCUAAUUGGCUCCUGACAUGCUGCACAGACAGCCCGUGACCUCAACCUGGAGAGCUGCGGCAAACUUCUCCACAAGCAUGAUGUGAAAAAAGAAACCAGGAGUGCAGUUCUCCUUAUAAAAUUCCAGAUCUGCCAACCUUCUCAAGGAACACAUGGGAAAAAACCACAAGGGCCUAGAGAAGUUAGAAAAAUGAAGUGGGAUAUUGUCCUGAAGAGGUAAAAAAAGAAGAGACUAAGAGUUUUCGUCAGUAGUAGAGCCUUUUAGGAACAUUCCAUUAGUAAUAAAAACAUGAUGCUGAGCACACAAAAGAGCAAACAAAAUCCAAAUGAAAAGAAAAAAAUGUGGUGAAAACACAACAAUGCAGACUACAAGAUAAAAACACCAACUAUCUCCUCCUCUUUGUCUGUAUGUAAAUUUCCUAUUAUAGGACAUAGGAAUGCAUUAUGCCAGCGUGUGUGUAGAAGAAAAUGCAUCCUUAGGUUUGCAGAAAGUGUGUAAUAACCAUACCACAUUUUGCUUUACUUCAGGGUGGGUCAACCAUUUGUA
rnacentral:lncRNA from 1 species